rnacentral:rRNA from 1 species
AACGAACGCUGGCGGCAUGCCUAACACAUGCAAGUCGAACGAGACCUUCGGGUCUAGUGGCGCACGGGUGCGUAACGCGUGGGAACCUGCCCUUAGGUUCGGAAUACCUCCCCGAAAGGGGUGCUAAUACCGGAUAAUGUCUUCGGACCAAAGAUUUAUCGCCUUUGGAUGGGCCCGCGUUGGAUUAGCUAGUUGGUAGGGUAAAAGCCUACCAAGGCGACGAUCCAUAGCUGGUCUGAGAGGAUGAUCAGCCACACUGGGACUGAGACACGGCCCAGACUCCUACGGGAGGCAGCAGUGGGGAAUAUUGGAAAAUGGGGGAAAGCCUGAUCCAGCAAGGCCGCGUGAGUGAUGAAGGCCUUAGGGUUGUAAAGCUCUUUUACCCGGGAUGAUAAUGACAGUACCGGGAGAAUAAGCACCGGCUAACUCCGUG